GAACAGCAUAUCCCUGUAGCAUUGUGUUUGAGAUGACCGUGUAUGGUCAGGAGGUCUCCAUGCAGGUCCCUGAGAACUGAGCCGUGAAGUGAGCCAGCAGUGCCUGCUGCUGUUCUUGUUGCUAUGACAACACCUGACACGAGCAGCAUAAGGAAGGGUGGCCUGGGCUCAUACUAUGUAGGUACAUCAUAGUGGGGCAUCAUGCAGCAAGAGCUCAAGGCAUCUGGUCACAUUGCACCUGCAGUGAGGAAGCAGAGAGAGACACAUGUACUCGGUUCACUUUCUCCUUUUCAUUAAGUCCAAGCCCCCAGCCCAUGUUCAGCCCAAUCAAGAAACUCUUACAGCCACUCCCAGAGGUUUGCCUUCUAGGUGAUUUGGAUCCUACCAAGUGGGCAGUGUAUAUAGAUUUGGGGGUUGAGAGUAAAGCUCCAUAGAGCACUUGUUCAAACUCUAGACUCACUCAACUUUAAACAAAAAAGAAAAGUACUUUUUUAACUUACCUUUUCUAAAUUUUAUUUAUGUUUGAGUAUAUGGACAUGUGUACAAGUGCUUUUGAAGGCCAGAAGAAGGAUGUCCUGGAGCUGGAGUUCCAGGUGGUUGUGUCUGCCUAAUUCGGGUUCUGGGAACCAAACUGAGCUCCUCUUAGGAGAACAGCAAACACUCUCAACCAGGCCAGAUCUCCAGCCCCAGGUAUGUCUUUUUUCCCUACUCCCACCAGGUUAUCUCCUUGUAACCCUAGCUGUCCUGGGACUCAAUUUGUAGAUUAGAGAUCUAUACUAGAGAUCAAUACAUGAUCACAGAGAUUCACCUCUUCACCCCACCCUCCAUGGAAUUAAAGGUAUAUAUCAUCAUGCCAGGCCCUAAUUCUGUCUGUGUGAUGCUUACAGUAAAGGUUAAGAACUAACGUAUAAGGUGCAGUGGCACACACCUUUAAUCCCCACGCUUUGGAUACAGAGGCAAGCAGAUCAUUGACAGUUCUCAGCCAGCCUGGUCCUCAUAGCAAGUACCAGGACUAAAGAACUUGUCUCAAACAACAACAGACAUGUAUAGAAUCACUUUUAAAAGGGGGAAUUUCAUCUGUAAAAUAAAGAUGUAAGUUUUAUGU
rnacentral:lncRNA from 1 species